UUCGUUCGUACCUUCACAUCGAACUGAGCUCCGCACUCCCGUUCAGUUUGAGUCCGUACGUCAUGUGAAUCGGUUGCGAUCCGCCAGAGUCAUUGGUGCGCUCCGCGUUACUCCGACCCACACCGUGUGGUUGUUUCACUCCCCCCUCCCCCAACCCAAAAGCACACCGUCGUCUUCGGCAGAGUGCCGUGCGCCGUAGGUAUUCCGUUCCUGCGGGGGAACGUCGUAGGUGAACGUUUCCGAAACAGUAAGACGACACUCCGGUUUCGGUGUUGGAUCAGAAAUUCGUCAGUGAACAGAAAAAUCGUUGGGGACUGUGAUUUUGCAAAAGUAGUGAUUGGAAGUGAUUUUUCUCUGUUGAUUGCGAAAUUUUCCGCUUGACCAAACUGAAUCCGAAUAGCGAAAAGCGAACGCAGAAAACACGGCGGAAAACGGCAGUAGUUUUCGGGCAGCAGUCAGUCGGUCGAUCGGUCGGUAGUAGUAUUAGCUGGCUGGUAGUAGUGACUGUGGAUGUAGAAGGGAAGCGAAAAAUAUUUCAAAACUUGUUCUUGCGGCCAGCACCAGUCAAGUCAGCAGUUGUGUUGUUGUUGUUGUCGUUGCUGCUAUUGUUGUUGUUUUUGUUGUUCUCGUAGUUGUUGUUAUUGUAGAGAAGUAGCUGGUAGAGCUCGCGCGCGUCACGAAGACCCUCGGAAGAGAAGGCAAAAGGAAAACGAGUAUCUCGGACGACGACGACGACGACGUAACAGCUAACCAAGCCAGACCAACCAGACUUCACGACACAGCGCAGACCUGUAUCGUGGUGGAAGUGGCCUCUCUGCUGUGAGAAGGUAUGAGAUUAUGUGGCAGAAACAGCAGCAGGAAAGACCACGAAAACGACGACAUAUGCAGCAAUCGCCCGUCGCAACUGCCGGAAUAAGCUCUGAAGGAUUGUGCAAUGUGGAUGAAGAGCUAAUGAUUAAAUGCAACUUGUUCCGUAGGAAAGGCCUCAAGAAUGUACCGCUGCUGUAGUGGAAUGCGGUGAAGAGGAAGAAACAUCAAAAGGAAGAGAUAAACACAACAAGAGAGGUACAAACAGAAGGGAAAAAAAGGUGUUCUUAAUUACCUGUUAAAACGGUUAUAAAUUAUCAAAUGAUGUUGGAAAAAGUGAUAAGCGGAUGCUUUAUUUAUUCAAGUACUAAACAUGUUAUGAAAAAUGGAUAAAUUUUAAUCAAGCGACCAUCUGGUGCCAGAUAGAAGAAUUUCCGAAGCAAGUAAAUCUACCAAAGUCAAUCUUGCGAAGAUAAGAUUCAAGUGUGCAAUUUCCAGGGAUAAGAAAAGAACAGGCAAAUCAAGAAGAUCCGUAAAGUAAGGGAAACCAAUUCUACAACGUCACCCAUUAUCAAGCAAGUGAAUUGUGGUUUCCCGAUAAGCCUUUGGUCAGCUGAAAGAAGAAAGUACACCCAAAUCUGAAAUUGUUACUUUAACACACACAAAGAGUUGAGCAGAACAAAGCUUGUUGGUAGUGAGUACAGAGGGAGAAAGAUAAUAAUUGUUGUCAUUAAGGUUAUUUUCCUAGGCAUAAGAAAUUUACACAACCUUCAGCAUCGCACAAGCAAAAGUGGUGAAUGAUUAUUCAUGGUGAUGAUGCAUUAGUGGUGCUGUAUGCAAAAGAAGAAAAAAAUUAGCCCCCGACACAGAAAAAUAGCCAUCGGAAAAGUGUGCUAAGUGAUUUUUUUUUUUCGGAGCAAAGAGAAAACCGAUCAAAGCAGGCCAGCCGACAAACGGCGAAGAAAGAGCAAAGAGUCAGCGGAGGCAGAGUGGGAAUAAUUUGAUUUCGAUGAAUGGGUGAAAAGAGAGGAAAAUUUUGAGUGAAUAUCGACCCGAAAGCAGAAGAAAUGCGAAGCAAAGUGAAUCAAGCAAGCAAGAAAUAGGGAAAUCUGUGCUUUGAGUAAAGAGGAAGCAAAUCGAAACUAGAAGAAGAGUCCUUGCUGGCGAAGGAGGAGAAGUGAGAAUACUGCUUCAACAACAACAACAAAUAAAUAAAUAAAUAAAGGAAGGAAGGAAGCCAAAAGAUUCCAUUGCCAAGGGCCGGUUGUGUGUUUGUUGAUUAUUAGUUUUUCGGCUGUGUUUAGUGAUUCUAGUGGUGGUAAUUGCGUGUGCCUAUAUGUGUCUCUCAGUGUGGGUUUGCGUGCCGUCAUUCUGUGUCCUGUGAAUGCACACGGCCAGUGCUCGUGAUUUUCGGUGCUCGAUAUUAUUCCAUAGUGCUGUGUGCUUACGGUUCUAAAUAAUAACAAAGCGACGGUGAAGCAGACGACAAAGUUUUGAUAGAAUACAGAUACCGUGGGCAUCGUCAUCGAUCUGGAUGAUAUUUUUUCGGCUGAAAAGUGUUUGAACAGUGCCUCAAAAUUUGGGAUUACUCUUUGGAAUCGGUGGCUGGCGUAUCAGCGACCACGGAGCGAUUAACAGCUCCCCCGGCGCCUCCCCAGGGCCACUCGCCCCUCCAGCUCUUAGAUGAGCCUCAUAUGUCCAUUGCUGCGGCUGAAAAUGCAGGGUAUGAACAACGAACCAAUCUUCUCCAAUUGUAAAAGGUAACCCUUAGGCAAUCGCAUUACUAUUCCAACAUAGUAAAGAAAAUUCAUCUUCCAAGCGAGCACGUUUAGAGUGUGCUACUGUUACGACCCGUGGCCACCGCCUCUCCAAAUAGUGUAGUAAAUGCCCUUCGGUGUUUUUAAGAGUCAAUAAAAUUCCAUUUGAAUAUACGCGAACUGAGCGCGUAGGUACAUAUGUACUUUCCAGUGG